rfam:Triticum urartu cultivar G1812 contig1071589, whole genome shotgun sequence.
UAAGUACUCCUCCCUCCAGAAAUACUUGUCGGAAAAAUGAAUGUAUCUAGACGUAUUUUAUGUCUAGUUACAUUCAUUUUUAUCCAUUUCUCCGACAAGUAUUUUUGAACGGAGGAAGUACGAU